CGACAAUUUGCUUCAAGUUGGUUUCUUGUUGAAGUCUUGCACCCCUGAGGUAGUGGAGGCUUAGUGUCGCGACAUCCUAGCAUUAAUGUCGUGACACCGGCGUCAGAUGUAGUUCUCCUCAAGAUCAUAUACACGUGCCAUGUCAGCAAAGUUAACAAACGUUAACUUUUCCAUCCAUUUUAGGUGAUUUGACAAUUGCACAAGUUGAAGCAACACAUUCACUUUUCUAUCCAUUUUGAGUCAGUCGAUGAAGUUGACAUAGUUGGUUUUCAUCAUAGCCUUGACCAUUUCAGUGGAUGAAGCAAUGAUGAUGGGGAAUUACCUGAAUUUAAGUUGUGUGAUAGAGUCAUAUUUUCGGAAGAGGGCAUGGAUGGACUAGUGAAGAAGUGAGCCGAUGAGGUUGAGGUUGUUGAUUAUCAACCAGGGUUUUGGAUCGGGUGAUAAAUUAAGUUUCUGGAGAUGACAGAAGUGAAGGGAGAGGACGAUGAGAGUUAGAGCGGCAGGCCAUGGAGUCAAGUAAGAAACCAAAGAGGAAAUUUCCAUUUGUUUUAGUUAGUUGUUUAUAGUAAUAUAUAAAACAUGUAUUUAUAGACAAAAAUUGUGAUAUAAAUAUAUUAAGCUUAGCAAUGUGUCUCCCACUUGAAUUCUUUAGUUCAUGGAAUUAACCCAUUGUUUCUUCUUA